rnacentral:lncRNA from 1 species
UGUCCAUCACGUUGUGCGAUUGUGUAACAGCUCAGCCAAUCAGAAUGCAGCUGUAAGCUUUAAGUCCCGCCUCUGGUAUCCGCGGUAUGUAAUUGGCUGCAUGCUUUUGUAACAGUUCGGGUUUGGUAACAGUGAUACUGGAGGGCGCAGAAAGCGUCGUUAACCUGCAACGGACGAGGUUAUCUCACGAACAGUCGAACAGGAAACAAACAUGGUCUGACUGAUAAUAAAAGCUAGCAUCUACGUGGUGAGGAGGAUCCGGGCUUCCAUUGCUGCCGGGGAGCAUCUGGAGAAGCCCAUCAUCACACCAUGUAGUGCUAUUGCUGAAAUGAGGGCAGGACAUGACUCUAGAGGAAACGUCUCUGCGGCCGCACUGAGCCCAGGACCCGAUGGAGGUGUUGGUGGAGCAGCAGGCUCAGGGACGUCC